CCCCCGUGUCUACAGCUAAAAUCCUUCCUACGUAUUGACUCAGUUUUGCACGGACACCUGCAACGCUCUUCCUUGAAACACCACGGCCCAGACCACGUCCUGCUUGGAUUCUCUUACUCUGUCAUUUCUGUUCCUGUAUUGUCCCAGUUUACCCAGAACACCUGGCUAGUUUCCUUGUUCUUCCUUCACCUGCUGACACAGGACGAUGAGGACCCUGUUAUUUCAAGAUGCAGGUGAUUUGAAGACAGAAAAUGGAGCUAGUGGUAAUGUCCUCCCCCAUUCAGACUGUUUGAAUCAUGCUUUUUACUCAUCUUACUA